rnacentral:rRNA from 1 species
UACGGAAGGCAGCAGGGGGAAUAUUGCACAAUGGGCGCAAGCCUGAUGCAGCCAUGCCGCGUGUAUGAAGAAGGCCUUCGGGUUGUAAAGUACUUUCAGUCGUGAGGAAGGUGUUAAGGUUAAUAACCUUAGCAAUUGACGUUAGCGACAGAAGAAGCACCGGCUAACUCCGUGCCAGCAGCCGCGGUAAUACGGAGGGUGCGAGCGUUAAUCGGAAUUACUGGGCGUAAAGGGCACGCAGGCGGUUAAUUAAGUUGGAUGUGAAAUCCCCGGGCUUAACCUGGGAAUGGCAUUCAAGACUGGUUAGCUAGAGUCUUGUAGAGGGGGUAGAAUUCCAUGUGUAGCGGUGAAAUGCGUAGAGAUGUGGAGGAAUACCGGUGGCGAAGGCGGCCCCUGGACAAAGACUGACGCUCAUGUGCGAAAGCGUGGGGAGCGAAACAGGGAUUAGAUA